GACAAACGCUGGCGGCGUGCCUAAAACAUGCAAGUCGAACGGACUCUUCGGAGUCAGUGGCGGACGGCUGAGUAACACGUAGGUGACCUGCCCUUGAGUGGGGAAUAACGGUCCGAAAGGAUCGCUAAUACCGCAUACGACCGCUGCAUUUUGGUGUGGUGAGGAAAGCCGAAAGGCGCUCGAGGAGGGGCCUGCGUCCGAUUAGCUAGUUGGUGGGGUAAAGGCCUACCAAGGCGACGAUCGGAGCUGGUCUAAGAGGAUGAUCAGCCAGACUGGGACUGUGACACGGCCCAGACUCCUACGGGAGGCAGCAGUUAGGAAUCUUGGGCAAUGGGCGAAAGCCUGACCCAGCAACGCCGCGUGGGUGACGAAGGCCUUCGGUC
rnacentral:rRNA from 1 species